rnacentral:rRNA from 1 species
GAUGAACGCUGGCGGCGUGCCUAAUACAUGCAAGUCGAGCGAACAGACGAGGAGCUUGCUCCUCUGACGUUAGCGGCGGACGGGUGAGUAACACGUGGAUAACCUACCUAUAAGACUGGGAUAACUUCGGGAAACCGGAGCUAAUACCGGAUAAUAUAUUGAACCGCAUGGUUCAAUAGUGAAAGACGGUUUUGCUGUCACUUAUAGAUGGAUCCGCGCCGCAUUAGCUAGUUGGUAAGGUAACGGCUUACCAAGGCAACGAUGCGUAGCCGACCUGAGAGGGUGAUCGGCCACACUGGAACUGAGACACGGUCCAGACUCCUACGGGAGGCAGCAGUAGGGAAUCUUCCGCAAUGGGCGAAAGCCUGACGGAGCAACGCCGCGUGAGUGAUGAAGGUCUCCGAAUCGUAAAACUCUGUUAUUAGGGAAGAACAAAUGUGUAAGUAACUAUGCACGUCUUGACGGUACCUAAUCAGAAAGCCACGGCUAACUACGUG